rnacentral:tRNA from 1 species
AAAAAGAUAAGCUAAUUUUAAGCUAUUAGGUUCAUACCCUAAUUAUAGAAAACUUUCUUCUUUUUA